rnacentral:tRNA from 2 species
GGAUUCUUAGCUCAGUUGGCUAGAGCGUCUCAUUGACGUUGAGAAGGUCACAGGUUCGAGUCCUGUAGAAUCCA